rnacentral:rRNA from 1 species
CCUACGGGAGGCAGCAGUGAGGAAUAUUGGUCAAUGGGCGGAAGCCUGAACCAGCCAAGUCGCGUGAAGGAUGACUGCCCUACGGGUUGUAAACUUCUUUUAUAUGGGAAUAAAAGGCUGCACUUGUGCUAUUUUGUAGGUACCUUAUGAAAAAGCAUCGGCUAACUCCGUGCCAGCAGCCGCGGUAAUACGGAGGGUCCGAGCGUUAUCCGGAUUUAUUGGGUUUAAAGGGUGCGGAGGUGGGUUGUUAAGGCAGGUGUGAAAGUUUGAGGCUCAAACGUAACAUAGCAGUUGAUACUGGCAGUCUUGAGUACAGUGGAGGUAGGCGGAAUUCGUGGUGUAGCGGUGAAAUGCUUAGAUAUCGCGAAGAACUCCGAUUGCGAAGGCAGCGUACUGGACUGCCACUGACACUGAGGCUCGAAAGUGUGGGUAUCAAACAGGAUUAGAUACCCCGGUAGUC